rnacentral:lncRNA from 1 species
CAGCUUCAACGACGUUCCAGAGAUAAUGAAACAGAUGCCACCACUUCCAGUUAAGUUGAACGAAGAGCUGGCGAACACCAUCCUUCCCCGAACAAACAUCAACUAACCGCGGCCAAAGGACCCGACCUGCUCCCAUGACUUGGUUUGGAGACAAUCCGCAAAUCGAUCUGUGAGCCUCGAGUCAGUGUAAACUAAUUUGUAGUGGUUCUUUUAGUCAUAUACCUGGUUUUAGGUUUUGAAAAGUGAAAGCAGUUUUGCUUGGUAGGAAGAACCUCAGAAAUGUUCUGUUGGUGUUGUAAUAGUGGAUUACGGUGAUGCCUCUAAUCAGCUCUCUUCUACUGCCGGGAUGGAGGAGUUUCAGAGGUGUGUUAGUAAUAAUAUACAUGCUCGCUGAACAUAGCUCUUGUGGACCUUAUUUUACUUGGAUUAACAGCAGAGAAGCCUCCCCCUUCACACGCAAGCUUGAUCCCGUAGGGCUUUCCUCCUUGUAUUAGGGUUUUUGUCAUUCACAAUACCUGCGCUUGCAACAGCCAAGAUCCCUUACCACGCCAGGAAGCCAACUGAGUCGAGUCUAGGGCUUCUCCAACCCCGGGCUUUGGACGAAAACGUGAUCAAUGCACCCCGCCCGACAACGGGGCAGACCAAGCAGGCCUCGAUUCCGGCUUCGCACGAGCACCCACUAUGUCUAGCUGGUACACGUCCUAUCCACGCUACAAUAAGGAAAAUGACGAUGUGGAAGUCAGGUCUUACAACGGAGGUUGAAGAUCUGGACGAGAGUCGUCUUCUAGACUCUUGUGAUACAGGCGAGUUGACUCGAGGCGACUCGCCCAACACCAUAGGAAUCCCAUCUGGUGAAGUUCCAGUCGACUUCAUUGUAGAAGAAGAAGACCGGCUACCCUGUUUGUGUGUUUGCUUUCCGUUUAGUUCUUUCGGAUUUCUAGUUGGGGUUCUGCAAGUCGGAUCUUUUCAGUCUUAGUUAGCCAUGCAUGGUAUUUGUGUUAGGGAUAAAAGUUUCGUAAUGUUUUGUUUGUUUUUGUCUUGCCUCAAGAGUCGAUUUUGGUUAAGGAGUCAUCGAAGACUCAAAAAUACUCUAAUUGCUUCAAGUUACAAGCUUUUCUCUUAUUUCUCAAUUUAAAAAAUACUUUCUAUAGAGAACCAAUGUACGCAAUAUUAUAUUUUGUUUAUCAUGAAGAAUUCAUUUUGAUGUGUAAAAAAAAAGUAGGGAAAUAAAAAAGAAUCUGGUCAACGUGGUCAAUAAAAAAUUUGAUAUCUACUCUUCAUGAAAAAGAAAGAUGGAAUUAACCCAUAUUUUAUUUAGUGCUUCCUUAUCCAAGAAAUCUCGAGCCAAUUCUCAUAUGAGUGCAAAAUUGAAUUCAAACUCGAGUAACUGACGGAACGAAAUAAUUUCACAAAUACCAACGCCAAUUUCAAUUCCGGGCUUUCGACAAUUUCCUCACUUCAAUUUCAAUUCCCACUCUAUCUCCCGCAAUUUCCCCGCCGGUCUGAAUUCCGUAACCGUCCCCUUUACUUCCCGCUGCAUGCUCGACACUUGACAGUCAGCUUGGGUUCUCUUUCUCCGAUAUCAGCACCCGAAGUUUGAAGCGCCGAAUUGUUCUGCAUCCGUUGCGGCGCGAGGUGGUAGUGCAAUUGUCAGUCCAAGGUGGAAGAUAAGCGUGGAGGUGUGGGUUUGGGGGUUUUGAAGGGGCUUUUGAAUGGCGAAUCCAUCGGGGAAGCAACUUCAAAAUCGUAAUCAGGAUGCUCCGGCUAGUAAUAAUAACAACAACAACGAUUCUUCUUCUUCGCUCAACGGGAACAAUCCGGCUAACGGAUAUCUGGAGAGUUCCAACCCCACCGUCGCUGCUUUGAAGCAUAAUCCUGGUAUCUCUAACGAUUGGACUCCAGAGGAGCAGUCGAUACUAGAGGAUGGCCUUGCCAAGUGAGAAUUCUUGUUUUGUAUUUGCUUGUUUAGCUGAAAUUGUUUGGAAUUCUAUAGGUUAUACUGAAUUAUGCGUCCACAACGUACAACUCUGCAGUGUGUUCUAAUUUCUAUCUGUGGCUAAGGAAUGUAAUUGAUUUUUAGUUCAAUUAGCUUAGCUGCUUCUCCAAUAUCCAUUUGGGAUUUAGCUCUUUGUCUCCUUGUUGUACAGGUACGCAUCGGAGUCGAACAUAGGCCGUUAUUCAAAGAUUGCUAAGCAGCUGCCGGAUAAGACAGUUCGAGAUGUUGCGCUGCGUUGCAGAUGGAUGUCGGUAUGAUUCUUGUUUUCAAUCACAUUCAAGUCUUAUCCUUAUUUUAGUUUUGCUUCACUAGACUUUGAGACUUGCUUCGCGAAUGCUGUAAACAUGUUUUAUCGAAGAUGUGAGGAUAAUGCUAUUUGACAUGGUGCUGUCUGGUUCAAAAGUUCUUUCUUCAUUUAGUUCAGACUGAUAUAUUUCUUGGUGGUACAGAAGAAGGAAUCUAGUAAGAAAAGGAAGGAGGAAAACGUAAGAAGAGGCAAGGAUAAGAAGGUAUGACUUUCUUUCUCUGUUUGGUUUGUUUGCAAAUAUAAGGAAGGCGGAAAAUCUAGCUCUGUUUCUUUUCUGUAUUAGGGUUUAGCUUAAUGGGCAAUUAGCAUGAUCUUUUUGAGAAAUUUGCGUAAAAGGAAAUUAUGGACGUUCUCCUUCGAUUGAGUCCCAAUUGGGUUCUGGUUAUGUUUAAGAUCAAUUUCAUUUGCAAAACUAUGAUGCCUACUGCUAGAAUCUGGACAAUGAGGUCUUACGGUGAUUAGUGUUUCUUCUGUUGACUGUAAUGAGAUAUCUCGAUGUUUUUAACAGGAAAAACUAACUGAUGUAUCGACAAAGCCUUCUUCUACUGUUGUCCGCUCUAAUGCUCCUGCAUAUGCAAAUACAGUGGCUCCUAUUGACUAUGAUGAUGGCAUCUCUUUUAAAGGUUGUUAAAUGCUCCUACCUUGUUAGCAUUGCGUGUGCUAUUGCUGACUUACUUUCUAAUAGUUGGAGACGUACUUAGGAUGAUAUAAUUAUAUAACUAUUGAACUUAAAUAGUGGGUUUUCCCUUGCAUGGGUUGAUAAUGGACACUGUCAACGGUAAUUUCAUACUCUUGUUACUUGUUAGGUAUGGAAAGGAAUUGAUGAAUUGGCUAGAACACGGUAGGUUUUUGGGAGAAUCCCUCUCUUCUCGUAUUGAUUCGCCUGAUUUACAUAGGGAGGAUAAACAUACACUAGGUUAGGAGAGUUAUAUCUUAACGAAAUAUAUCAUAAAUCUAAUUUUUCUAUAAUCAGACUAGGAAUUAUCUGUUACCGCCAACUAUUAUUAUACGCUAACAACUAAUAUCUUUGAACAUUCCCCCUCAAGCUUGGUGUAGAUAUUAAUUAACUUGAGUUUGGCUACUAGAGUCUCGAACAUGUAUCUGGACAAGGCCUUUGUUAAUACAUAUGCAGUAUGCUUCGAAGACGCAUAUUCCACCUGAAUAACUCCGAAAUUAACAUCGUCUGUGAUAAAAUGUUGAUCUACCUCCGCACAUUUAGUUCGAUCAAUGAUGGACUGGAUUUCAGACAAUGCUAAUGGCAGCUUGAUUGUCACAUAGGAACUUUAUAGGGGUUUAAUAAGUGAUCUUCAGUUCAUUUAGGACUUGUUUCAACCAGAUACUUUCACAAACUCCGAGAGCUAAGUCUCUAGACUCUGUGUCUGGCUUUCUGUUUCUUGCUCUGUCAAGUAAUCAAAUUGCCUCAUACAUAGCUGUAGCCUCUCAGUAAGCUCUCCAGUCCAGUUGGCAUCAGUAUAAACUGUUAUCCUCUAUGAGUUUUUUUCUUGAAAUGAAUCCCUUUUCCCGGAGAACCUUUAAGGUACCUUUGAAUCCUGGUUACCAUUGCCAUAUGCACCUCAUUUGGACAAAUGUUGACUCACGAUCCCAACAAUAAACGUAAUAUCAGAACGAGUAUGAGCUAGGUGUUAAGCUUACCUACAAGACGUUGGUAGCUAUCUUUCUCCACUGUUGCGAUGUCCCGGCUCUCACUGAGCACCUUGUUUUGCUCCAUUGGUGUAUCAAUUGGCUUAUAUUCAAGCGUUACCACUUCCUUGAGUAAGUCUAACACAUACUUUUUUGAGAGCACAAUCCCUUUUUGAGAUCUUCGCUCCUCCAUUCCUAGGAAAUAUUUUAAGUUUCCUAGGUCUUUUAUCUCAAAUUCCUUUGCAUAAAAACGUCCAAGUUACGAGGGUGUGCUCAUCAAUGAAGGUGAUAAACCACCUUGCACCAUUUAUAUUUUGGAUUUUCAUAGGUCCCUAUAUAUCACUGUGCACAACACUGUGGUAGGUUGAUAGCCAAUUACUAGAUAGACAUUGUCGAGUAUGCUUAGCAAGUUUACACACUUCGCAUUCAAAAACCUUUGAACUUUUAUUUGGAAACGAUUCUGGAAACAACUUCUCUAGACAAGGAAAACUAGGCUGUCCAAACCUAAAAUGCCACAAAAGGGCUAUAUCUCAAUGUUUUCUAUGCUAGAAACAACAUUUGCACUUCUACUUUCUCUAGACUGAUGCUCCACAUCCUCAAUGUCCUUCAUGACAUAGAGUCCAUCACAUAGCUCACUACUAUCUAAAUUACUCCCCAUCCCCAAUUCAUACAACACAACCAAGGAAGCGGAACUUAACUUCACACGGUAAGUCAUGAGCCACUUGAUGAACAGAUAGGAGAUUGCAGUCAAGUUUCGGUACAUACAGUACAAGACACAAAGUGAGAUCCCUUGUGACCCUAACCAUACCAACUCCUUCGACAAGAGCGAUGGUUCAAUCAGCAAUACAAACCCCUGAGGUUCUAGGGUAAUGUUGCAAGUUCUGUAUCAGCUCCCUACGACGAAUCAUACUAUCUGUGGCACCUCAAUCUAGGAUCCAUAUAUCUUAGAAUUAUGUUUCGUGGUGUAAGCAUGAGAAAUACCUUGUUUUUCGAACAGACUUGUUAUAUAUCAUUUCGGUUUCGGCUCAGCUUUCUCAACUUGGAGCAUUUGAGUGAACAUCUUCUGGAGAGCUUCCAAUUGGCCCUUUGAGAAUUGAGUGUCAUCGCCUGCACCCUUGCUGUUUUCAACAUCAGCAUGACCUUUAUAAGCUAGGUUAGGAGAGACCUACAUUAACUGAAAUAUAUCCUAAAUCCUAUCUUUCUAUAUUAGACUAGGAAUUAUCGAUUACCGCUAACUAUUAUUAUAUGCUGACAACUAAUAUCUUUCAACAUGUAUAUGAUCGUUUCCUCCUUUAAAAGGACUUACAAGCCAUUUAUCAAGCCUUUUCUUUUAAUAUCUCUAAUUGGUUAUGGAUUCUUAAUACUAUUCAUUUGUCACUUCUAGCUGAUGUUUUGACGUAUGACAAAUUUAUUAUCAAUUACGUAUAGAUUUUCUUAUUGAUUAUAGAACUUUUUUCUGUAUUUUCCAGCUAUUGGCGGAGUAACUGGAGACCUCCUCGAGGAAAAUGCACAGGCAUUGAGUCAAAUCACGUCUAAUCUUUCAACAAUGCAGGUGACUGCUUUUGCCGUGGUAGUAUAAUUAUGUCACAAUGCUGUUUAUGUCCACUUAUUAUUGAAAGUUGAGAUUUCUUUCUUCAAAACUAAUGGUUAUGAAUGUAUUUCUAAAGAAAAUGUAUAGAAUUCCCCUAAGGUUGAGGUUAUGCUAGACGGAUCCCUAAGGCUGAGGGUUAUGCUAGGCAGCCUCAGAUAUUGAGAUUUUGAAACGACUCUCCCUUAAGGGGCUGACAUGUGGAGAGCCACAAGACUUGUGUGCUUGUUCUGUUUGGAAGUUAGAUUCUUUUACCAUUAUGAUGAUUAAGUUUCCUUCUGUUUGCAAAUCAUUAAGUUUCCUUGUUAUGAUUAUUUUGUCAAGAUUAGUUUCCCUGUGGUCUUGCUGGAGGAUUAUCAGUUAUAAAGAGUGGAGAUUGUUCGUGUAUUCAUGGUGCAAUCUCUACUGUGGUUGUUCGCGUAAUUUGUCUCUUAGAUUCUUAUAAAUAUCAUGCCUACAGAUUUAUAUCCUCCGUACAAGAGUUUCAAUUAUGUGUCACAAAUAUAGCCUAAAUAGAGUCGGUUGAUUAUCUUACUGUUUACCAAUUGUACCCCCUAGUUUCAAAGCAUUUCACUGUUAAGUGCUGAUUGUCAAUGUUGUCUCCGGUCUCAUUAGCUGAUAUGGAGGUUGUUGAUGAAUGGGCUAGUUAUCAAUAUGCACAUUCUAUUUGCGAUUUCAGUGGAUGCCUAACAUUGCUGCUUCACCUUCCCAUAUAUGUUUCCUUUUCGGCACCUUUCAGAUUUUGUUCAUUAUAUAUUCUUAUGUGCUUCAAAUGCCACCCAGCUAGUGUUGAACUAUUAAUUUGACCAUGCCAAUAAAUCCUGCCUGUUUUGGCUUUGUUAUGGAAUGUGCUAUGGGUUGAAUUAAUUUAUCAUUGCCAAUAAUUUGAGUGACUUAGGACUGUAUUAUCUAAUGUAGUCUACGUUGCAGUUUUCGUCUAGUUGAGCUUCGUUUGUCAAAAAAUCCUUCGGUUCCAUUCCUCUAUGUGUAUUCCCAUUUGUAGCAAUUGUUCUUAACAAGAUAACAUAACAACUAAUAGGUUUGAAUUAAUGAAAAUUCUUCAUUAGACAGUAUCGUAUCUUUGUUCCCUGUCUCAACUCGCUUAUCUUGUUGUAUGUUUUCUCGAAUAUACAUACAAACUAUGUGGAUAGGUUUAAGCUCAACUUGCAUCGUGAGUUCUCAGCAGAUUUAGCAUCAGUAGUUGGAUCACUGUAUAUCACAAGUGCUGCUCUGGAUUUCUUUAGCAUCAGUAGUUUCAUCACUGUAUAUCACAAGUGCUGCUCUGGAUUUCUUUAGCAUCAGUAGUUUCAUCACUGUAUAUCACAAGUGCUGCUCUGGAUUUCUUUAUCUCCAUCUCAUAGGCUGUUCAUGACUGGUAGACUUAACAGGUUCUCUUUCCUUUCUCCAGAUGCAGGAUAACAUCAACCUACUUUGUCGGACUCGUGACAACUUCCUCAAAAUUAUGAACAAGUACACUUCAGAGUUUGCCCUUCUUCUACUCAUAUAUCUCCUCUCAAAUCUCUCUUAGUGCAGAAUUUUCUUUCAUCAAUUUCACUCUCUUGUUUCUAAGACCCUUCUUGGGUAUGCAGUGCCUGAUUUUAAAGAUCACUUGCACGUCUUCUGACUGGAAAAUUAUAAAGCUUUAUUCAUUGUGUUUGUUUUAGUUUGAGCUACUGCUUUGAUUAAAGCAAGCCACUUAUGUCGCUAAGGGGUGGAAAUUUGUUUGCGGUUAGUCGUUAUAACCGCAAACCGCACCGAUUAUUGUGAUUUGCGUUUUAACCACUAACCAUGUGGUUUUCGGCAGCCAUUUUCGCCAAAUUGUGGUUAGCGGUCAAACCGCAAACUGCACUGUUAACCACAAACUAACCGCAGAAAUAAAAUUAAUAAUAAUAUUCCUUAAUUCUAAAAAAAUGAAAUUUCCUAAAAAAUGAAAUGGAGAUGGUUUUGCGGUUAACCACUAACCAAACGGUGGUGCGGGUUGUGAUUAACCGCAAACCAAAGAAGUAUUGUUUGCGGUAUGGCUUUUUCUCAUUUUGUGAUAGUGCGGUUCGGUUAACUACAAACCGAACCACUUCCACCCGAUAUAGCAUCAGUGAAGGAUUCUGCUCCAUGUGUAAACCAUUUCGUCCAGCGAUCCUAACUCUCAUUUUUCUGUUGCAGCUUCAACGACGUUCCGGAGAUAAUGAAACAGAUGCCACCACUUCCAGUUAAGUUGAACGAAGAACUGGCGAACACCAUCCUUCCCCGAACAAACAUCAACUAACCGCAGCCAAAGGACCCGACCUGCUCCCAUGACUUGGUUUGGAGACAAGCCCCAAAUCCAUCUGUGAGCCUUGAGUCAGUGUAAAACUAAUUUGUAGUGGUUCUUUGUAGCGGUUUUUUUUGUCAUAUACCUGGUUAAUGGUUUUGAAAGUUGAAAGCAGUUUUGCUUGGUAGAAAGAGAACCUCAGAAAUGUGUUGUUGGUGUUGUAAUAGUGGAUUAUGGUCUAGAGGUAUAGACAAUAAGCACCGUGUGAUGCUGCUGUGAAUAUGUUCAAGGGUUUGUUUUGGCUAUCCUCCCUGGGUUUAGUUAGAAUAUUUAUUUAAUCCUUGAUUAAACUCGUCUAUAGUGUCAUUAAUCUGAUCUUCCAACCUCACACUAUUGAGCAGGAGACAGCUUUGGCAGUUGAUGCUAACUCAGUCUUCUUUGGAAGAGGAGGUUGGAUCUGCUGGCAUACCUCCUUCUGUAGAGGAUGGAGGGGGACUAGGCCAAUGUGCUUGAGGUUCCUAAGGGAACGGAGGGAACAGUAUGCAACUGAGGCUUCUUUGCAGGUUGGACGGAUCCUGAGCCCCGACUAGAGGUAGACUUGGACUUGUUGAA